CUAGGGGGCAAGCGUUAUCCGGAAUUAUUGGGCGUAAAGGGUGCGUAGGUGGUUAGUUAAGUCUUUGGUAUAAGUGCAGUGCUUAACGCUGUGAUGCUAAAGAAACUGGCUGACUUGAGUGUGGUAGAGGCAAGUGGAAUUCCAUGUGUAGCGGUAAAAUGCGUAAAUAUAUGGAGGAACACCAGUGGCGAAGGCGGCUUGCUGGGCCACAACUGACACUGAGGCACGAAAGCGUGGGGAGCAAACAGGAUUAGAUACCCGCGUAGUCC
rnacentral:rRNA from 1 species